rnacentral:rRNA from 1 species
CCUACGGGUGGCAGCAGUGAGGAAUAUUGGUCAAUGGGCGCGAGCCUGAACCAGCCAAGUAGCGUGAAGGAUGACUGCCCUACGGGUUGUAAACUUCUGUUAUAAAGGAAUAAAGUGAGGCACGUGUGCCUUUUUGUAUGUACGUUAUGAAUAAGGAUCGGCUAACUCCGUGCCAGCAGCCGCGGUAAUACGGAGGAGCCGAGCGUUAUCCGGAUUUAUUGGGUUUAAAGGGAGCGUAGAUGGGUUGUUAAGUCAGUUGUGAAAGUUUGCGGCUCAACCGUAAAAUUGCAAUUGAUACUGGCAGUCUUGAGUACAGUUGAGGUAGGCGGAAUUCGUGGUGUUGCGGUGAACUGCUUAGCUCUCAC